rnacentral:lncRNA from 1 species
AAGCUUAUAGAGUCAAGAAAAAAAAAUCAUGAAUUGUUGGGUUGUAACUCAGUAGUAGAAUGCUUGUCUCAUAAGCAUGAAGGCCUGGGUUUUAUCCCCAGUACACCCCCCCACACAUACACAACAUACAAGAAUCAUGAAUCGUCAAAGUUACCCUUGAAAAUAAUGAGAAACACCCACAAAACCAAAACAAUAAAUGCAGUAGUAUAUGCAUAUCUCUGUCAGUAUUAUACAUAAAUUUACAAUGAAGUUGUUGGAUUAUUUUUUAAGGAUAAUGUUGCAUGACAAUACAUAUCUUUAAAUUCAAGAAUUAUUCCUGUGUAGCAAGAUGUGCAUGUUUUAAUAUUUACCAGGAAACUAAGGACAAAGUAACUGAAGAAAUUGAAAUUGGUGUCUCCCAUUUCAUGCUGACUGGGGGCUUUUGCUCUCUGAGUGGAGCGGUGGUGGAGACCCAGUGCUCUGUUUCCCCACUAUGACUUUAAGUUUUAUGUUCCCUAAGUUACAUGUGCCAUGCCAUGGUGCAAUUGUACAGUACUUCUUUUCUUCCUUAUAGUUUGAGUAUUAAGGGCUGGGGUUGUGGCUCAGUGGUAGAGCUCUCGCCCAGCACAUGUGAGGCCCAGGGUUCAAUCCUCAGGACCACAUAAAAUAAAUAAAGAAACUGUCCAUCUACAACUAAAAAAAUAAAUAUUUCAAAAAAAAUUUGAGUAUUAAAAAGCGAGCUUAGGUCCUGAACCAAAAUUUCAGGUGACCACAGAUUAGAGGAGACCAACAAAUUUGGACUAUAUGUUCUUGUUUCAUAACACAUUUAUUUUUAAAAAGUAACAAGAAGCUUAAUCUAAAUAGAAGUUUAUUUCUCUCUUAUAUAAAGUCCAAACUGGAAUGGUAGUUCUGUCUUGUCAAAUUGUAGGGGCCUGGUCUCUUUUUAUCUUGUUUUCAGGGUAUUGUGCUCAUCCACAGGGAUUAACUUGGCUCACCCUACAUCUGAAUUCUAGCCCCAACCUUUGGGAAUGAGGAAAGGGGAUGAGGAGGUCCCUUUUGCUCACAGUCCAUUGACCAGAACAUAAGCAGAAUGUUACAUUCAAUUGUCUGGAAGGAUAAAAAAUGUAAUCAUUGCUGGGUUCCAUAUACGUAGAAAAAAAAUCUAAUUAUAAUAAAUGGAGGGGACAGCAGCAAUCAGGAGACAAUUAGCUUCUGUAUACCUCUGUUUUAGAGAUGAGAAAGUUGAUCCUCAGAAAAUAAUUUGUUCAAGGCCUCACAUAACUAAGAUAUUUGAAAAACUGUCCCCAAAAGAGAACAUAGAGUUAUGCUGGGUACAUCAGAAGUCAGAACCAGGACUGGUAGGGAGAUGUUAAAGGAGGCAUGUUUCUAUACAGUUAAUAUUAGAACAAAUAAUUUUCAACAUUUAGAAGAGUACAAUAAUGAAUAGGCUACCUCAGUGCUAUUGCCAAUUGAAUGGCCUUGUCCAUUUGUCAGGGAUGUCAUUCUUAGCUAGGCACCAUGCCUGUAAUCCCAGCACCUUGUUUGAGGUGGGAGGAUUGCAAGUUUGAAGCCAGCCUCAGCAACUCAGACUCUCAGCAACUUAGUAAGACCCUAUCUUAAAAUUGAGAGAGAUUAAUAGAUAGAUAGAUAGAUAGAUAGAAAGAAAGAAAGAAAGAAAGAAAGAAAGAUAUAUCAUUCUUCAUUAGGAAGAUGGGUCACUUGGGUGAUUCUUAAAUCUUUUCUAAUUGCAAGUGUCUAUGAUUGAGCUUUCAGUUUUGUCUCCUAAUACCAGUGUUCCUAAACCUUUCUUUUUUAGCCAGGACCAGUCAGCUUAUAUUAGCCAAAUAUGUACGUGUUUGUUUCCUCGGUAACCUAUCCUUUCCCUACCUGUCUUUCAAGCUUCUUUUAGUUAAUUCACAUUCCAACCUUUCUUCAAGAUCUAGAUGUAAUUUAAUGUCUCAUCAGUUUGAUUGCCACAGCUGUCCCAACCUACAGCCUACCCACUUGUUUUUCUCCAACCCUUGGUGUACAUACUAAAUAUAUUGUUAAUAUGUUGGUUAUUUGUUUAAUGAAUGAAGAACCUUCCUUACCAUCCUACUUUGACUUCUCACUCAGUUGUUAUAAAUCUUGUUCCUACCAGUCCCUUCACACCAAAUUUGUUCUUCAAAUUACCUUUAUUGAUAAUUACCAAGCCGUGUAAAAAUUGCAGUAAUAUAAAUAUGAAGAAGAAGGAGGAGGAGGAGGAGGAGGAAAGUAAGAAGUAUUUAACUACUUUUUCCCUUUUUUUGUGGAGGGGAGUUAGGAGACAUAGAAGAGGUUUCUUUAGCAAAGAUUUUUUUAAGUCUGACUGGAGGAAGAAAUAGUGUGGCAGAAGGAAGAGCAUACAUAGCAUGAACAACAUGGUGUGUUGAGGGCACAGUGAGGAUAGUGGUAUUUUACUGAUGCCACAAAAAGAAAGGGAGAGGAAGUGGUUAUUUCAAAGACUCUAGACUUGUGUGCAUACUGUAUUUAGGGAGUCAAAAACAGAAGAGUGACUUAAACAGAGUGAUAGGUUGGCUUUAGGCUGAAAUUGAAGGGAAUUCUCAUUUGACAGACCACCUUAGCUUUCUCAGCAAUCAAGAAAGGUAGUUGAAGGUAUGAUAAAAUAUCAGAAAAGCUUCUACAAGUGAUGGAAUGGGAAGGAGAACAAAGGCCAGUCCAAAAAGCCCCACUGAAAUUUUAAAAUAUGAAUUUUAGUAAGAGUAGCAUGCACAUUUGUACAGUUUCCUUCAGCAAUGCUCAUAGGUUAGGUGUAGGAGAAAAUGGAUGGUAGGAUUGAUUCAGGUUUAGAAGUUGAUAGCUAGAUGGAAAGGUCAAAAGGCAAGGGAUUAAGAGUGUUGAAAGAAAUUUAAGCAAUCAAUUAUGGGAUCCAAAUUGCAUAAGGAAGGAAACCAGGCCAGGAAGAUAAAUCUGGAAAGUAUAGAAUGUUUGGAAGAUGAGGCCUCAGUGAUUUCAAAGAAGGUGUGUAUUUAAGCAGUAAUGCUAUGAUGCUUGAUUAAGCUGGAGGGGGGUAGGGAUUCAAGAGUGGGAUAUUAAAGCCUGAGUUUCCUUCAGCAAAGCAGUGUAGAGUGGGCAAGGUCAAGGGUGUGGGUGUUGCUGAAAUGGCAUGAAGGCUUGGUUAGGGCAAAGAACGCUGAGCCUAGGGUGUUAGGUUAUUUGUCUAGUGUUAAGGUAGCUAGUAUGAUUGCAGGUGUUGGGGUGAAGAGAGAUUGCAAAACAGAUAUUUCAACUGUAGUAUCAAGUAGGAGAAGAGCAUGACAUAACCAGACAUAUUGUACCUUCACAUUUUGAGUCUUAAGUUUGAAAGUAGAAGGGUGACUACCUGCAAGUGACAUGGUGCUACAAAGGGCUAGUGCUGCCUCUGGACCUGUGGAAGAUGGAGGUGGAGAAUUAACCUCCUACCAGCAGGGGCAUAAUUCCAGUGGUAUCCUCUUAAGGUAGCCAGGUUUCAGUUAGGCAGUAAGUGGAGGGUUAGUGAAAAGACUGAGAAUGGGAGGGUUUGUUGAAUCCUGGAACAAAGGUUUCAGGUGGUGUGACAGAAUGAGGGGAAAGAAAUUUGCAACAAGAGAAUGAAUCAGAGUGAGGUUAGGUGUAGGAGAAAAUGGAUGGUAGGAUUGAUUCAGGUUUAGAAGUUGAUAGUUAGAUGGAAGGGUCAAAAGGCAAGGGAUUAAGACUGUUAAAAGAAAUAUAAGCAAUCAAUUAUGGGAUCCAAAUUGCAUACGGAUGGCAACCAGGCCAGGGAAAUUUUUUAAAAAUCCAAAACAAAGAGUGAGAAAAUACAGAGCAGAUUGGGAACUGAAAGAGAAUAGUUGACCAGGACUUCCAUUUUCAUCUUCUCCUGUGGAUUGUGGGGAUGAAAUACAUAGGUAGAACUCAGAGGCCUGAGGAUGUCCAAUAUGGACAUGAAAUAGUUUAUAUCAAAGGUCCCAGAGAUACAAGGCGCCUCUCUCACCCCUCUACUUAGGGACUCAAUCCUCAUCACCAUCUGCCUAUUAGCUCUCAUUUCAGAAAAAUAAUAUUCCUAUUAUUCCCUGCCAUCCCUAUAUCUUUGACCCAAUCCACAUCUUAUUUCCUUCUCCUUGUUUUGCUAUGCAAUUCUGAUCUAAAUUUCAUGAAAAAAUAAUCUAUAAUUCCUCUCUCUUAAGCAUUCCUUUUCUCCCUUUUAACUGUUACUCUGAGUCCUGUUGUACCAUUUGACUCAAAUUUUUUUUUCUAAUAUCAUCACUCAUCUCCAGUUGACACCACUAAUCAAUAUUUUCUCAUUUGUACCUUUGUGCUCUGCUCAGAACUCGAUCAUUACCUAUUUCUUGAACCUUGAGUAUUUUGGUUUCAUGAACCAUAUUCUCUACUUUUACCUCCCAUUUCUUUAUUUCCUUUACUAAAUUCUCUGAGGGUAUUACUUCUCCCCAUUUUUUAAAAUCAACUUUAUUUUAAAAGCAAGUACACAAUUUCCAUAUACCUCCUGUGCUCCUACUCAAAGAGCCUUCCCCACCAUGGUCAUCCUGCAUUUGUUACAGUGGCAUACUUGUUACAUUCAGCAAUCCACACUGACACCUCAUUGUUCCCUAAAUUGCGUAGUUUCCAUUAAGGAUCAAUCUUGGUGUUAGGUAUUGUAUGAGUCUUGACAAAUGUAUAAUGACAUGUAUCCAAAAUUGUAUUAUAAUAGUGAAUAAUUUUGCCACCUUAAAAAUCCUCUGUAGGUUUCCUAUUUUCCCUGUCUCCCCAACCACUAAUCUUUUUACUUUCUCCAUAAUUUUGCUUUUUUUUUUAGAAUAUUAUGUAGUUAGAGUCGAACAGUAUGGAGCCCUUUCACAUUGGUGUCUUUCACUUAGUAAUAUGCAUCUAAGCUUCCUCCAUGUCUUUUCAUGGCUUCCUAACUCUUUUUUAGUGCUUAAUAAUAUUCUGUUAUCUAGAAUUCAAUUCAUUUGUUUUCAUCAGAACAUCUUGAUUGCUUCCAAGUUUGGGAAGUUAUGAAUAAAGAUGCUAUAAACAUGUAUAGUUAGGGUUUUAUGUGGAUAUGUUUUCAAUUCACUGGAUUAAAUACCAGAGAACAUGAGUGCUGAACCACAUGGGAAAGUGUUGUCCACCCUUUUUAAAGGUGAAUGGUCCACAGGAGGCCAGUCAUUAGUAUUCUGCUUUGUAAAUAGGUAACUUAAGGUCAAAAAAGUUAAAUGACUUACCCAAGGAUUACACAGUAAUAAGUGAUAGAGUAGGUCUAAACUUUGGGAUUUCUCCCUACUGGUCCAAGACUUUUUACUAUCUUAUGUGGCUUCCUCAUUACAUAACAGAGAAAAAGUUUGGAUUUCUUACCCAGGGUUCUAAGUCUAAAAUUAUCACACAGCUCAAAAAGACUGCAGUAAUGUUGUACCUAGAACUGGGUGGGGAAAAAGUACAAGCUAGAAAAGUAUAAUAUUUUAAGACUUUUAAGAGUGAUGAGGAUAUUAAAGUUUCUAAAAAUCCAAGAGUUUUAUUUAUAUUAAAACAUGUUUAGAUGAUAGUGAAAUAGCAACUUAUAGGAGGGAAGAAAAUAUUUACAAAUCACAUAUUCCAUAAGGGUUUAAUAUCCAGAGUUGGGCUGGAUUUGUGGCUCAGUGGUAGGGCACUUGCCUAGCAUGUGUGAGGUACUGGGUUCAAUUUCCAGCACCACAUAGAAAAAUAAAUAAAAUAAGGGUAUUAUGUCCAACUACAACUAAAAAUAUUUUUUAAAAAUACCCAAAGUAAUGGGCUUGGGUUUUGACUCAGCGUAGAGUGCUUGCCUAGCACGUGUGAGGCCCUGCACCACAUAAAAAUAAAUUAGUAAAAUAAACAUAUGUGUCCAACUAGAACUGAAAAAAUAAAUAUAUAUAUUUUUUAAAUACAAAGUGAAUAAAGAACUCCUUCAACUCAACAACAAUAAAACUUGAUUAAAAAUGGGCAAAGGACUUCUCCAAAGAAGUUGCACAAAUGACCAAUAAGCCAAGAUGUACAGCAUCACUUAUCAUUAGGGAAAUGAAAAUCAAACUACAAUAGGAACCACCUCACACCCAUUAGGAUUGGCUACUAUUAAAAAAUAAUGAUAAUAACAAGUGUUGACAACGGAAUGGAAAAAUGGGAACCUUCUUGUGUUGUUGGUGGUGUAAUGUAAAAUAGUACAGCCACUAUGGAAAACAGUAUGGCAGUUGCUGAAAAACUUUAAUAA